UCUGUUUUUUGAAAAUGGGGACCACAUUAGCCUUUUCCCAGUCCUCUGGCACCUGGCCAGAGCACCACGAGUGCUCGUAAAGCCAUGCCAGGCACCCUGCAGUGACCCCUGCCAAUUCCUUCAGCACCCUGGGGUGGAGAGCAUCUGGACCUGCUGAUUUAAACAUGUCCAGCCCCACCAGAAGUUCCCUAACUAGGUCCUCCCUGACCCUAGGCCUAGUGGUGCCUUUUCUGAGUCUGUCCAGAAUCCCAGUGGGGGGGGGAUGUCCUGGUCCCUGCUCAGAAAAUGGAGGCAAAGAAUUUGUUAAAGAAGUCAGUUUUUUUCUGGUGCAACCGCUAGGCCUGUACGAGUCGGCAGCGAUCUGAUCCAGGUUUGCAUUGCCAGACCACAGGAGCGCAGGGUCAUGUCGGUACCCCACGGCCAGAAGCAGGAGUGGGAGUAGGCGUGUGUGUAUGUGCAACGAGGGAGGGAGGGAGAGACUGUGUGUGCAAUGAUGUGUGCAUGCAAUGAGAGAAGGAGGGAGACACUGUGUGUGUGUGUGUGUGUGUGUGCAUGUCACAAGUUUUGCCUGUCAGCAGCCAGAGGUGCAGGGCUCCAGAACCCAGAAGACCUGCACCGAUCUCCUCGACAGCUGGCAGGCUUCAAGGCCGCAGCAGGGGCCACCAUCCCUGCAGCUUUCACCUUUCUGCACCUUAACACACACAGUGUCACCCAUGGCACAAGUUUUGGUUGUCCGCAGCUUGAGGUGCAGUUUCCCCCAAACCCCUGCACCUAUCUCCUUAAAACUUCACAGGCUUUGUGGCCUGAGCAGGGGCCACAACCCCUGCAGUUUUCAGCCCACUGCACCAUGACACACACAGGGUCAUCUAUGCCACGAGUUUUGCCUGUCAGCAGCUUGAGGAGCAGUUCCCCCACAACCCCUGCACUGAUCUUCUUAAAAUUUGGCAGGCUUUGUGGCCUCCCAAGGAGCCACCACCCCUGCAGCUUUCACCCCCCUGUGGUGUAACACAUAGACAUGACAUGAGUUUUGCAUUCAAGAAUUUGGGGUGCAGUUCCCCCCAAACCUCUGCACCAUAUUGUGAAAAUUAGCAAAAUGAAGGAAUCACCAAAUUGCUCCUCUACACCAGCCCCAGCCUCUCACUAGCCACAGUGCCCUGUGCCCCACAGUCCCUUUACCCGCUACUUCAGCAGUAAGAGCAAGGAGCCUUUGGCAGCUGGGGGGAAGAAGACUGCCUGCCUAGAGGCGGAUGGUUAGUGAGGAGCAUUGUGCUCCAAGGCAGGACAGUCUGGGUCCCCUCCAAACACCUUGAGCUUGGUCCAGCGCAGUGUUUCUCAGCCAAGGUGCCAUGGCAGCCUGCAGGGCCUUGAGAUCCUCUCAAAGGUGCUGCAGGGUGCCAUGCGGUGUUAGCAUUGUUAGGUGUGCAAAUAUGAUUCACACGAUAAACCCAGAGAUUUCAAAUAGGAAUUUAUGUUGAUAAAAACAUUCUGCCCUGUCGUGGUCUUUACCAGUUCUUUUUAAUAGAAGCAUUGCUGUAUUAUUUUUCUGUAGUCAAAAAACUAGUGAAAACUAAGCUGGUAGUUUCUGGGAGGGCUUUGAGUCUACAAAAGUUAUCAGCCACUGGUGUAGUGACACUCUGGAGCUCUGCACGUUCCUAUUUGCCCCGUGACCCGCCAGGUCUCCGUGAAUCCUGCCAACAACCUGGCCUCAACGCUACGUGAGAGUUUGAACACAAACCCACAAAAUUGCCCGUGACCUGUGUCAGAACCAAGUAUUUAGAUGCCUGUGGCACAGUGGAAUAUUCCUUUGGUUUGAUCCAUAGUGGAACAUUUUGCUGUCAAUCAUUAAAGUAGGUCACAGCAAGGAAAAAGUAGGUCAGAGGUGGAAAAUUCCACUAUGUAGCGAUAUGCCACUGUAAUGGAAAGUUACAGCUUUAGAAAAAGUUCCUGCCAACUUCAUGCAAAUACGUACACCAUGAUUGGCCGGUUCCAAAUUAUUCCUACGUGGCGACUAGCAAUUGGCUCGCUAGCCGUAUAAAAGGUAAAUCAGUUUCCGCCCAGGUUUGAAGAACUCCUCAUAGUUCUCCAGGUGGGAGAACUCCACAUCUCUCCAGCUUAGCACGUUGGAGCAUUAGGAGAACUCAGAGAGCGAGCCCGGAGAGCUCGAACUCCGUGCAUAUAUCUCUGAGAAACCCUGGUGGAUUGAUCACCCAUCAGGGACUUCCCGUCGCCGACCUACCCGACAACCCCCCCCCCCUUCUUGCAUGCUUGCUCAGCCGUUCACGGACGUCUCAUCUUCCAGAAAGUUUUCAUUUUGUUCAGUUUACAACGGUAACCUAAGCCAGUCAACUCUGCCUGCACCUAUACAUCAGGGGCUCCAAGUCGUGGCAGGAGAGCAUAAAGGCGUGAUGAAGAUUUGUUGUAAUGGAGGAAGACAUUAAGUAAUAUUUUGACUGUAUCAGAAAGUGUGCUAUGCUAGACAAAAUGAAACAUGAAAUCAUGACUGUUGUAAUGCUAAAGCCUGAAGCCCUUAGCCAUGGGCCUUCAGGGAAGGUGGGGGAAGCUGUGUGGAAGGGCUAUUCUGCCCAAGAAGACCCAGCAGGACAGAAUACCACAGCAACCAGCUGCCCUGCUUGAACUCCUACAUUAACAGGACUGGCAGGUUUUAUCAAGACUUUUGCAAAAAAAAGUGGGUUCUAUCUAAAAUCCGCCACACCACAGGAAAGACUUGGGGAGAGAGGGAGGACAGACGGGAGUGUAUGUGGAUGUAGAGUACACAAGUAAGGUAAAAAAAUUGGGGCUACAUGAACAAAGACACAAAAAAAAAAGUACUGUGGGGGGGAUGCACUUGGUAGUGAAAAGCUGGCUAAAAACUUUGUGUGUGUGAAAAGAACAUUAUCACAAAAUUUACUUUCAACCAACACUGUUCAAACCUGCAUGUAGUCUUGAUCUUGAUUUUUAGGGAAAACCUUUUUUCUUGGGUUAAAAGAAAGAAAGAAAAAGAAAACAGGCUAGACUGGGCAUUCUUAAAGAAGCUGCACUAUAGCAAGAGUGAGGGGAGGCACGCAGGCCAGCACCAACCGGGGGUGCUGAGAGGGAACCACCAGCCAUGAGUAAAGCAUAGUUACUUGGGAUAAUUACCUGGACUACAUGAAAAGACAACCCAAGAAAAGCAAACAAUACAUGCAUGAUCCUUGAAAUAAGCUAAUGACGCACAGUUCACUAAGUAGCUGCUUGGAAUAGCUUGACCAUUUGUAAUUUUUUAGCAUUUUUAAAUCUUGCACACUGCACUGCAGACCGGGGCACGUAGAAUCAGCAGGGGGAGCAGGAAGACGCAGCGUGGGUGUGCAUGUCUGUAAGCCCCAUGUAGAAAAAUGUGACUGAGCAGUAGGCACCCACAGUGCUAGAAGACAAGAGUACAAAGGUGGGGGGGGGGAGGCUACUUUGCCGAGAAGCCCCAGCCAUGUGGCAGGAGUGGGGGCCAACAGCAAUUGUGAAAGGCUCGGAGGGCCUGUCCGGAGAAGGGUGUUCUCUGAAAAACUGCACUGUAGCAAGAGAGGGCAUGUAGGCCCAAAUGAGACCCAAAAAGAGAGAGAGACCGUUUUCUCUGACACGUUACAUCCCAAAACCGAAACUACAUUCUACUAAUUUUGCUGUACCUACUGGACCCAGCACCCAUACAUAGCAGUGCUUUUCGUCUGUGACUGGAGAGUUCACCGAGCCCAAGUAAGGUAAUAACAAGGUGCAUUGCAGAGCACUAUCAGUGAGGGUAACCAGUACGUUAAGCUGUACCCUCUGCCACUUGCUCCCAGGAAUGUUACCCUGUGCCAGCUGCUCCUAGAAACUGCCAACUGUUCCCAGGAAUGUUAAUACACUAUGGUCUGGAGAGGUUGGGAUCCUGCUGGUAUUCCAGUGGUGAAGCAUAGGCUCAAGCAGAUACCAGGGUUUUACACACACACGUGUGUGUGUGUAUGAAUCUUAAGCAGAAGCUGCCCAGCUUGUUGAAAAUAGCCAAUGAUAUGCCCAGCUUGAACUCUUACAUCAUUGGGACUGACUGAGUGCAGGGGGGAGUUGGUGGAAAUGUGGCCAUAGGCAAAGGAGCAGGGUGAACAGACUCAAAUGGGUGUGUGGGUGUGAGAGAGUUUAGGUUAAAAGUGAGCUCUUAUUUCUGUGCUGUGAAAUACUUUCUAUUUGCCAUUUAAGUUUAUUAGAAAAAGUCUAUUUUUUAAGUGUGACGAGGCUUUUUAGGCUAAAUAUUUAUUUAGAACAAAGGUUUGCAAAGUACUCCUUUCGAAAUGCGUGGUUGUCUAAAUAGCUCCUGUGGCGGGUCAGUAGGGGGUAACAUGUUCUGCCAACACCCCGAGAAGGGUCUGUCCAGGUUCUGUGUCCUCGGGGAAACAUAAGCUUAAUAGUCCUAUGAGUACUUGACCCAAUACAAGAACUUGGGGCACUUCCCCAAGUCGGGGGACAAAAAGGAUAGUCUCCCUUAGUCCGCAGACCCAAGGGGCCUCCUAGGCAUAAGUAAACCCACCCCUCAGUAAGUCUCCUACACCAGUCACAAAGGAGAACUUUAUUGAUUAUAGAGGGUAGGGUUACAAGGGUAGAGCAAUAUCAGAGAAAUCCCAGAGCAUUCACAGAAGAGCGACAAGCCAUGGGGCAGGAGUGAGGGAGGAAAGUUUUUUGCCUGAGAAGCCCAGUCAUGGUGAAAGCACCAGCAAGGGGUGGCAAGCCCUAGACCCCAGGCCAGCCAUAGGGAAAGCAGUAGGGGCAGGGAACAGGCUAAGGAGGCCCUGUGGCAACAGUGAAGAAGGUCCACCAUUGAGUUGUUGGCUACAAAGGACCAACUCACAGGAUCAUCAUAAAAUUCUAGUUUAUUGGACAGAUGCAAAAGUCAGACCAUAAACCUUGGUGCUGAUCCCCUCAAACACGCACACAUUCAUGCACACACACAUACAGUAGCUAGCUCUGAACACUAAACACUGGUGUCAAGAUAUACCUAUCCCCAAGUGCUGGAGUCUGCCGUCGAUGGCCAGUCGAAGCUUCUUUCAGUGCGAUGUUGCUGCAGAAGUGGGUAGCCGGCUGGUCCUUCUGGGUAAACAGGCAGGGUGCUGGUCAGGUCAAAGCGGGCACCAUCAGGGGUUAUUCUUUGUUGCCUUUUCUCCCUCUCUGGCAGGCUUUGGCGACCCCCCAGUUCUCAGGCUUACCCAAUCCAGGGGUCAUUGACCGUGAGGGACGUCCCCAGCCAUGGGUAAAGCAGCAUGGGUAAGAGGCAAGGAGAAGGGCGGUCCAGGGAGGCGAGAGCAUGUGCUUAGAGGUCCCAGCACCCUCUACGCCCACACUUCCCAGCCAAGCCAUGGGGCAGGAGGGAGGGAGGGUUUUUUUGCCCAAGAAUCCCAAGCAGGCAGGGUUGGUAAGCAAAGUGCAAACCCCAAGCUGUGGGAAAAGAGGGAGCUAGGGAGCAAGGGACAUUAGGGCUUGUUCAUUCCCUGGGACAUGGCCAGUAACCAGGAAGAAAGGUGGGUGGGUGUGUGUGGUGGUGGUGGUGUUUGUCUGUCUGUCUGCAGCAUGAGGAAGAAGGAGUGAGGCCCUAUUCUGGUACAGUUACAGUCUUGAAAUAUCUCUGGGAUGAGUUGAAAGAAACUUAUGGAUAUUCUUUCAUGAGCUCAGACAGUGAUAGAGAGUCACCGAAGACCCAAAAUGAGAGAGGCCAGUUUCUCUGACGUUACAAAUCACUUUACAUGGUGAUUUAGAAGCAAGCAAUAAGAAGAAAAAAUAAAUAAAAUCCCAAACUUUAGGACAUGGAUGGAAAAUGAGAAUUUAAACAAUGCAAAUAAUGUAGUCACUUCUGCAGGAUUGAAUGUUAUUGAUCCAGAGAUUCACUGUCAUAUUGAAGAAACCCAUGAAAAAAAUCACUAAGGGAAAUGGACUGCAGAUUUUUCGGGGACAUGUGAAUUUUUCAGGGACAGUCAUCCUAGGUUGACCAAGCUUUAGGUGCUGAUGUAUUCACAGAAUAGGAGGAC